rnacentral:rRNA from 1 species
AUUGAACGCUGGCGGCAUGCUUUACACAUGCAAGUCGAACGGUAACAGGCCGCAAGGUGCUGACGAGUGGCGAACGGGUGAGUAAUGCAUCGGAACGUGCCCAGUCGUGGGGGAUAACGCAGCGAAAGCUGCGCUAAUACCGCAUACGAUCUAUGGAUGAAAGCGGGGGACCGUAAGGCCUCGCGCGACUCGAGCGGCCGAUGUCAGAUUAGGUAGUUGGUGGGGUAAAGGCUCACCAAGCCAACGAUCUGUAGCUGGUCUGAGAGGACGACCAGCCACACUGGGACUGAGACACGGCCCAGACUCCUGCGGGAGGCAGCAGUGGGGAAUUUUGGACAAUGGGCGCAAGCCUGAUCCAGCAAUGCCGCGUGCAGGAAGAAGGCCUUCGGGUUGUAAACUGCUUUUGUACGGAACGAAACGGCUCUGGUUAAUACCUGGGGCUAAUGACGGUACCGUAAGAAUAAGCACCGGCUAACUACGUGCCAGCAGCCGCCGUAAUAC